rnacentral:lncRNA from 1 species
CUAUCUUUUCUUUUUACAUUCUCAAAGCACUUUCUGAAAGCUAUCUUUUCCUAACUCAUUUUGUUCAGUUUCUAAUCACAAAAUCUUGUUUUUCCUGUAUAAUCCAUACAAAAUGUGUCAUUUUGUCACAACCUGUAGCUUGAGAAAAUGCACGGUGACCUAUCAAUUUUAUACGCCCGUCAAAAUUUUGACGGGAGGUAUUAUGGUAUACAAAUGUCCGGUGUCCGUCCGUCUGUCUGUCCGGCGUAAACAUGUCGCACCGUAACUUGAGAACAACUUAUCCAAAUUUCAUGAAACUUUAUAUAGUUGUUUCUUAUAAAGGUCAAAUGAUCUGUAUACUUUUUGGUGAAAAUAAGAUUUAAACUUUUUGAGUUACGACACUUUGUAACUAAAACAGGGGUGUGUUUUUUUC